rnacentral:rRNA from 1 species
CAAUAGCGUAUGUUAAAGUUGUUGCGGUUAAAAAGCUCGUAGUUGGAUUUCUGCUGAGGAUGACCGGUCCGCCCUCCGGGUGAGUAUCUGGCUCAGCCUUGGCAUCUUCCUGAAGAACGUAACUGCACUUGACUGUGUGGUGCGGUAUUUAGGACAUUUACUUUGAGGAAAUUAGAGUGUUUCAAGCAAGCGCACGCCUUGAAUACAUUAGCAUGGAAUAAUAAGAUAGGACCUCGGUUCUAUUUUGUUGGUUUCUAGAGCUGAGGUAAUGAUUGAUAGGGAUAGUUGGGGGCAUUCGUAUUUAACUGUCAGAGGUGAAAUUCUUAGAUUGCCGAAAGACAAACUGCUGCGAAAGCGUCUGCCAAGGAUGUUUUCAUUGA